rfam:Schistosoma mansoni strain Puerto Rico chromosome 1, complete genome
ACCUUGCUGACGAGUGCCAAAUAGAACGAAACUUCAGUCUAGGGU